rnacentral:lncRNA from 1 species
GAGAGAGAGAGAGAAUCUUUUUUUAAUAUUUAUUUAUUUAUUUUUUAGUUUUCAGCGGACACAACAUCUUUGUUUGUAUGUGGUGCUGAGGAUUGAACCCGGGCCGCACACAUGCCAGGCGAGCAUGCUACCGCUUGAGCCACAUCCCCAGCUCUCAUUAUUUAUUUAUUUAUUUUUAUAGUACUUUGACUAUGCUGGAACAUCAUGGUAUGGAAAAUUACAUGACUUGUUCAUUCCUGUGUCUUCUAGAGCUGUGUAAUUAUUCUAGCUACAAAAUGUUGUAAUAUACAACUGCAGAUGUGCUACAUGCUAUGAGUUCCUUUUUUUUUUUAACCCCUCUUGGUACUGGGAAUUGAACCUAGGGAUGCUUUACCACUGAGAUAUAUCCCCAGCCAUAUCUAUCUAUCUAUCUAUCUAUCUAUCUAUCUAUCUAUCUUAAAGACAGGGUCUUGUUAAGUGCCUUAGGGUCUUGCUAAAUUGCUGAGGCUGGCCUUGAAUUUAGGAUACUUCAGCUACAGCCUCUCUGGAGUCACUGGGAUUAAGGCAUGCAACACCAUGUUUGGCAAUGAGUUCAUUUUUAAGGUUAAAAGAAAAAGAAAAGAAUGAUAUUGCCUUCAAUUUUACUAAUUACAUUGACAGUAUUUUGGUUCCAUAGUUUAAUGCUUACUUAUACUUGUUAUCCUUUUAAUUAACGGAAGUUGGAUUGUAGUCCUCAAAUUCAUGUUGAAUUGAUGUUAGCUUGUUAUAUCUUUUAAAGUAGUCUGUUCUGAAACAGUCAAUGAAAAUAAAUCACUUUUUUUGGUAAUUUCAGUGCCUUUAAUUAAUGCAUUUAAAUCUUUUAAGUAAAAAAAGUCACUUUGGUAUAAGAUAAAAUAAAUCCUCCCAAUAAAUGAGUAUUUCAUCUUUUUGUCCAAUAGUUUUUAACAAGAGUUAAAGGUAGAGACACUUCUCAGUCUCUUUUUCCACUCAACUUGCUUAAACACACUUGCUUUGACCCUGUGCAAGAUUACAAAAAAAGGUAACAUUUGUCUUGGAUGCCUGUCUCUUCUCUCCUGAAGGCACUCUUGUCCAUGGGGGCCCAUCUCAGGUAUUCUAUUCUAGAUUUUUCUAUCAGAUCCUAGUACCUCAUUCUAAAAGGUCAUGGGUAUAAUAAUGUCUUUUCCAGCUUAACUUUACCUGUUUGGUGUUUAUUUUCCUUAAAAGCGUAGAAUAUGCUAGUUCAUUCCCUGUGCUUGUGGUACUCACAUUUGUACAAAUUUUAUAUCUCUUGAGAGUAUGAAUCAUCUUUUUCAUUUUUUAAGUUAUAAUAUUGUUGAAAAAAUUUGGAUUUUUUUUUCAGUCUGUUUCCACUGAUCAUAUUUUAUGUCAUGUCUGCACUACUUGAUGAAACAUAUGUUAGUGUCUUCCAUGUCAACAUUUAAGCAUUUAAGUGACCAGUCAGUGACUCGCUUCCCCAUAUUGAAAAUGAAGUGAGAGGCUGACACUUAAAGGUCACUUUUUUCAUGGAGGUAAGGAGGUAGAUCAGAAUUUAAUGAGGCUGUGUUUAACAUUCAUCUGGCACUGGCUGCAUCAUGAACAAAUCCUAGGCAUCAAAAUUUCUCCUGUAGCUUUGGGUUAAAAUAUUUGCUUAGUUGCCCUCUUCAAAACUGCAUGGGAGGGCUGGGGAUGUAGCUCAGUGGUUGAGUGCUUGCCUAGCAAGUGUGAGACACUGGGUUCGAUCCUCAGCAUCACAUAAAUUAAAUAAAUAAAACAAAGCUAUUUUGCCCAUCUACAACUAAAAAAAAUUUUUUUUGAGCUGCAUGGGAUUGAAGGGAAGGAAAAAGGGGAGGAUCAUGAUCUGAAAUCAAAUUCCAUGUAUGGAUGAGUUUGAUGGGAUGAACUCAAUUACUAUGUAAAACUAGAAAGCUCUAGUUUAAAAAGAAGGAGGGGGGGGAGAAGAAGAAGAUGAAACAGACUGAGGCCAUUCUCCUGAAGACAUUCCAUAAUGGGAAUUUUUUUAAAAAAUCCAAACAUUCACCCUUCCUUCCUUCCUUCCUUCCUUCCUUCCUUCCUUCCUUCCUUUUGCUGUGCUGAGGAUUAAACCCAGGCCUCAUGCAGGCAAGACUUCUUUCUACCACAGAGCCCCAGCCCUUCACUUUCUUAAUUGAAUAUUACAUAGUGAGAAAGAAAAAUGAAAUGGGAGCACAGAUACUUUGAAUAAGGAGUUUAUCUGCAAGAAGUUGGUGGGGGGUAGACUCUGAAAAUGUUAGUAAAAGUCAGUAUGGUUAAUCUAGUUCUCAAAAUAGAAAGCUGUGCUACCAAAUGUGUAAAGACUGUUUUGCCUAAUAAAAAAUGUCUACAUUGUUAUCAUGAUCAUUCUGUCUUAAGAUGUUCUCUUUAAAAUGUUCUUUUUUUCUGCAACACAGUCAUAUGAAAGCCUGGUGUUAAGCAAACCAAGUUUCUCUAGAUGAUAUAAUUUAAAACUUGUAAGGCUCAGGUUAAGGGACAGAAAAUGAAUUUAAAGGCAUUCUAGUGGUUCUUUUGCUUCAAUUAAGUUGAUAGUGCAUGCAUCUGGAGGAUGCCUAAUUUUCAGCUAAGCAACAACAAAAUAUAGAAUAAGAU